AAUAGGCUAUUUUCAUGUUAAAUCCAAAAAACCUUUUUUCAGCUUACUACUUAUCUCUUAAAAUCUUAUUUCUAGGGUAGUCAUUUUCUAAGAAAUCAAUUUUACAGCUUCAAAAUUAUAUCCAAAAUCCUCCCAAAAUCAAAGUUACCAUAAAAUUCUUAAUCAAUUAGAUCUCUAUCAAGCUUCCACGAAAUUAGGAUCUGGGUUGUUAUGUCUAAACGAAAUACCACAAGGAUAAUCACAAGAGGAUAUACUUCUGCUAUGGAAUUACAUAAGAAGUCGAAAGAUGAAAUAGUAAGGACUCCUUCAAAAAGAAAAGCAGGGUCAACGGUGAAAGCGAUUCAAAAAAAUUGUUACAAGAGGAGGAAACUAAAAAAUGUAGUUUCCGACAUGAUCGGAGAACAUGCAGUUAAUGAAGAACAAGACGAAGUCAGUGAAGAAUUAAAGGUAUGUACAUUUUUUAUUUUUUUUAUUUUUUUGAAUAAUUUUUGCAUAUGUACAUGCAGUGUACUUUAAUUUGUAAAAUUUACUUAAAUGAAUAUAGUUUUUGAUUAUGAUAUAGUAUUUAUGU